rnacentral:rRNA from 1 species
GACGGAGGAUGCAAGCGUUAUCCGGAAUGAUUGGGCGUAAAGCGUCCGCAGGUGGCAGUUCAAGUCUGCUGUCAAAGACCGGGGCUUAACUUCGGAAAGGCAGUGGAAACUGAACAGCUAGAGUAUGGUAGGGGCAGAGGGAAUUCCUGGUGUAGCGGUGAAAUGCGUAGAUAUCAGGAAGAACAUCGGUGGCGAAGGCAGAUCUCUGGGCCGUAACUGACGCUGAGGAGCGAAAGCAUGGGGAGCGAACAGG